UCCACCUUACCUCUAUUAUAGGAAAACAAAUUAAAAAAUUGUGUUGGAUAUUUAAAAAUACUAACCCUAAAUUUAGGAAUUGACAGUCUAUUUACACAUUUUAAUGGAGAUGUGAAUUUGAAUAUUGCAAUUUACCUUCUUUGGAGUAAACCAAAUUGUACCUCAUUUGAUAAAUGGGGAAUCAAAAUAACAAUAGUCAAUAUAAAAAAUAAUUAUACCAUACUGUUUUAUGUAUUAACUAAAUCCUUCAACAGUCUUAAUGCCACCAUUGGUGAUUGAACUAAGUAGAUAUUCUUGAUUAGAAAAAAUGUUCUCUCAUCCCAACUUAGUCAUAAUUUUUUAAUUUCCUCCGAUACUCCAACAUAUUUUUAACAAUUUUCACAUUAUUAUUUUAU
rnacentral:lncRNA from 1 species